AGAAUCAACGCUGGCGGCGUGCCUAACACAUGCAAGUCGAACGAGAAAGUGGAGCAAUCCAUGAGUAAAGUGGCGACCGGGUGAGUAACACGUGACUAACCUACCUUUGAGUGGGGGAUAACAUCGGGAAACCGAUGCUAAUACCGCAUAACAUCGCAAGAUCAAAGCAGCAAUGCGCUUAAAGAGGGGGUCGCGGCUGAUUAGCUAGUUGGCGGGGUAACGCCACCAAGCGAAGAUCGGUAUCCGGCCUGAGAGGGCGCACGGACACACUGGAACUGAAACACGGUCCAGACUCCUACGGGAGGCAGCAGUGGGGAAUUUUGCGCAAUGGGGGAAACCCUGACGCAGCAACGCCGCGUGGAGGAUGAAGCCCCUUGGGGCGUAAACUCCUUUCGACCAAGACGAUAAUGACGGUACUGGUGGAAGAAGCACCGGCUAACUCUGCGCCAGCAGCCGC
rnacentral:rRNA from 1 species